rnacentral:rRNA from 1 species
UGGCUAUUAUGAAAAUAUUAAUAGUCUAGCCUGCUCACUGAUAUAAAAUAUUAAAUAGCCGCGGUAUCUUGACCGUGCAAAGGUAGCAUAAUCAUUAGUUUUUUAAUUGGAAACUUGUAUGAAUGGUUGGACAAAGAAGAAUCUGUCUCUUUUAUUAAUGUUGAAUUUAACUUCUAAGUGAAAAGGCUUAGAUUUUCUAGAGGGACGAUAAGACCCUAUAAAGCUUUAUAAAUUUAAAAAUUUUAUAUAUUUUUGUCUAAAAAUAAUUUUUUGAACAUUUAUUUGGUUGGGGCGACAAAAGUAUAAAAAGUAACUGCUAGAACUUAAUACAAAUAUUGUUGAUUGAUAACAUUAAUAGAUCCUUUAUAAGGAUUUUAAGAUCAAGUUACUUUAGGGAUAACAGCGUUAUUUCUUCUGAGAGUUCUUAUCAAAGGAGAAGUUUGCGACCUCGAUGUUGAAUUAAAAUGUCUUUAUAGUGCAGCAGCUAUAAAAGAAG